GACGAACGCUGGCGGCGUGCUUAACACAUGCAAGUCGAACGGUAAGGCCCUUCGGGGUACACGAGUGGCGAACGGGUGAGUAACACGUGGGUGAUCUGCCCCGCACUUCGGGAUAAGCCUGGGAAACUGGGUCUAAUACCGGAUAGGACCACUGCCUGCAUGGGUGGUGGUGGAAAGCGUUUGCGGUGUGGGAUGGGCCCGCGGCCUAUCAGCUUGUUGGUGGGGUGAUGGCCUACCAAGGCGACGACGGGCAGCCGGCCUGAGAGGGUGACCGGCCACACUGGGACUGAGAUACGGCCCAGACUCCUACGGGAGGCAGCAGUGGGGAAUACUGCACAAUGGGCGCAAGCCUGAUGCAGCGACGCCGCGUGAGGGAUGACGGCCUUCGGGUUGUAAACCUCUUUCAGCACCGACGAAGCGCAAGUGACGGUAGGUGCAGAAGAAGGACCGGCCAACUACGUGCCAGCCGCCGCCGUAA
rnacentral:rRNA from 1 species